rnacentral:rRNA from 1 species
CCUACGGGAGGCAGCAGUAGGGAAUCUUCCACAAUGGGCGAAAGCCUGAUGGAGCAACGCCGCGUGGGUGAAGAAGGUCUUCGGAUCGUAAAACCCUGUUGUUAGAGAAGAAAGUGCGUGAGAGUAACUGUUCACGUUUCGACGGUAUCUAACCAGAAAGCCACGGCUAACUACGUGCCAGCAGCCGCGGUAAUACGUAGGUGGCAAGCGUUAUCCGGAUUUAUUGGGCGUAAAGGGAACGCAGGCGGUCUUUUAAGUCUGAUGUGAAAGCCUUCGGCUUAACCGGAGUAGUGCAUUGGAAACUGGGAGACUUGAGUGCAGAAGAGGAGAGUGGAACUCCAUGUGUAGCGGUGAAAUGCGUAGAUAUAUGGAAGAACACCAGUGGCGAAAGCGGCUCUCUGGACUGUAACUGACGUUGAGGCUCGAAAGCGUGGGGAGCAAACAGGAUUAGAUACCCGUGUAGUC